CCCUUAGAUGUUCUGGGCUGCACACGUGCUACACUGGCAGGUUCAGCGAGCUUCAUGCCCUGGUCUGAAAGGAAUGGGAAAUCUUUUCAAAACCUGCCGUGCUUGGGAUAGAUGUUUGCAAUUAUUCAUCUUCAACGAGGAUUGCCUUGUAAGCGCACGCCAUCAGCGUGCAUUGAAUACGACCCUGUAUUCUGUACACACCGCCCGUCGCUCCUACCGAUUGGGUGUGCUGGUGAAAUGUUCGGAUCGGCCGUUUGUCGCGGUUUCCGCGUCAUGUGGCUGAGAAGUUCAUUAAACCCUCCCACCUAGAGGAAGGAGAAGUCGUAACA
rnacentral:rRNA from 1 species